rnacentral:rRNA from 1 species
ACCGCAUACGUCCUACGGGAGAAAGGGGGCUCCGGCUCCCGCUAUUGGAUGAGCCUAUGUCGGAUUAGCUAGUUGGUGAGGUAAAGGCUCACCAAGGCAACGAUCCGUAGCUGGUCUGAGAGGAUGAUCAGCCACAUCGGGACUGAGACACGGCCCGAACUCCUACGGGAGGCAGCAGUGGGGAAUAUUGGACAAUGGGCGCAAGCCUGAUCCAGCCAUGCCGCGUAUGUGAAGAAGGCCUUCGGGUUGUAAAGCACUUUCAGCGAGGAAGAACGCCUAGUGGUUAAUACCCAUUAGGAAAGACAUCACUCGCAGAAGAAGCACCGGCUAACUCCGUGCCAGCAGCCGCGGUAAUACGGAGGGUGCGAGCGUUAAUCGGAAUUACUGGGCGUAAAGCGCGCGUAGGUGGCUUGAUAAGCCGGUUGUGAAAGCCCCGGGCUCAACCUGGGAACGGCAUCCGGAACUGUCAAGCUAGAGUGCAGGAGAGGAAGGUAGAAUUCCCGGUGUAGCGGUGAAAUGCGUAGAGAUCGGGAGGAAUACCAGUGGCGAAGGCGGCCUUCUGGACUGACACUGACACUGAGGUGCGAAAGCGUGGGUAGCAAACAGGAUUAGAUACCCUGGUAGUCCACGCCGUAAACGAUGUCGACCAGCCGUUGGGUGCCUAGCGCACUUUGUGGCGAAGUUAACGCGAUAAGUCGACCGCCUGGGGAGUACGGCCGCAAGGUUAAAACUCAAAUGAAUUGACGGGGGCCCGCACAAGCGGUGGAGCAUGUGGUUUAAUUCGAUGCAACGCGAAGAACCUUACCUACUCUUGACAUCCUGCGAACUUGUGAGAGAUCACUUGGUGCCUUCGGGAACGCAGAGACAGGUGCUGCAUGGCUGUCGUCAGCUCGUGUUGUGAAAUGUUGGGUUAAGUCCCGUAACGAGCGCAACCCUUGUCCUUAUUUGCCAGCACGUAAUGGUGGGAACUCUAAGGAGACUGCCGGUGACAAACCGGAGGAAGGUGGGGACGACGUCAAGUCAUCAUGGCCCUUACGAGUAGGGCUACACACGUGCUACAAUGGCCGGUACAAAGGGUUGCCAACUCGCGAGAGUGAGCUAAUCCCGAAAAGCCGGUCUCAGUCCGGAUCGGAGUCUGCAACUCGACUCCGUGAAGUCGGAAUCGCUAGUAAUCGUAGAUCAGAAUGCUACGGUGAAUACGUUCCCGGGCCUUGUACACACCGCCCGUCAC